CCUUCGACCGCUGCUCACCCCAUUUGCUAACUAAGUGGGCACAAGCAAGCACCAGGAGGUUCACACACACUAUUCAUCAUCAUCAUGAUACGGUUUUCCUCUCAUUUGAUUGUAUCCCCUCCACUCACGAAAGGGAAUCUUCACAACCAAAAUGAAACAAAUAUACGAUUGAUUCACACAACAUUUCAUUCAUCUAUCAUCAUUGCCAUCCACCCUCUUCCUCACUAGCAUUCACGCUUGAACACUACGCACUCUUUGUGGUUUUUUUUUUUCUCACACAAAACCCUCAAAUCGGCGGCGUCAGACUUUUGGUCUAGGCUUGCGCUCUGCUCCAUGCUCGCCGACGAGGAGUCAUUUGCGGGAGAUUGGGUAUAUGUGUUGGGAUCAAAGAUUAAUACAUUUAAAAUCUCGAAAACAUAAUAUUGGUGCAUGUGAUGGAAUGGUGUAUGGUUGGGUCCCAUUUUAAUGUAUAUAAUAUAAUUUUGAAGGCAUGCGAAAUGUUAUUUCUAGGUUUAACAUGCCCAGGAAGCAAAGUAAUAUGGAUGUUGUGAUAGGGGAGCCAUGUAGGUCUUUAAUAUUACAUGAUGUAGACUCACUUUAUUUAUUUUAUAUAGUCCAAUAAUUUCAGUUU